rnacentral:rRNA from 1 species
ACGUAGGGGGCAAGCGUUAUCCGGAUUUACUGGGUGUAAAGGGAGCGUAGACGGCGCAGCAAGUCUGAUGUGAAAGGCAGGGGCUUAACCCCUGGACUGCAUUGGAAACUGUUGAGCUUGAGUGCCGGAGGGGUAAGCGGAAUUCCUAGUGUAGCGGUGAAAUGCGUAGAUAUUAGGAGGAACACCAGUGGCGAAGGCGGCUUACUGGACGGUAACUGACGUUGAGGCUCGAAAGCGUGGGGAGCAAACAG